rnacentral:lncRNA from 1 species
CGCCUGAGUUGCUGGAAGAAGACGGAGAAGGAAGCUCAGGACCCUAGUUCCCCCUCCCCAAGCUCUGCCACCGCCUCGGGCAGCGCCUGGCGGGCAGCGCAAGGGGGCAUGGCCUUUCUUGGGGCACCUGGGUCUGGGACACUGCGGGACUCCAGGCGGCGGAUCGGAAAGGGACUUCCACACCCGGCUGGGUCCUGAUUGCGCUUCAGCCUUGGGGGAUGGGAGGGUAAAGGAUGGGGGUUCCUAAAUGUUUCUUUGAAAGGAAGUUCGAGGCAGUGGAGGGAGAGGUUGUGGGAUGCAGCUUGGGGCUGAGGUCACCUGCGUGGGAAUUUUGUGUGUGUGUAGGUGGGGUGGAAUGGAGUGGGGCGAGUUACGAGCAGCUUGGGGUGGGGGAGAGUUGUUGACGAAUCCGAGUCGCUGAGCUUGUUGGCCUGAUUUCUCAUUUGGAAAGAAAUCUUGUAAUAAAACUGCAGCCGUCGGGCUUCGUGCUUCCGGCGGUUUCUACCCGCCAUCGCUGUAGGCUGCCACAUCACCUUGGGGAAGCAGGAAGCUCCUGUCAAGGACUUGAAGAGGCCCCGUCACAGACCUUUCCAUCAGGGCCAGGUGCUCUUUCAGUUUCUUUCCACUUUUUUUUUUUUCUUUUCUUACCAUGCCCAAAGGCAAGGGAUUUAAAGACUUUGAUUCAAGCUCUGGCUGUGCCACUAGUAAGACGUGGGGAUCAGGUAUUUGAGGGCCCUGAAGAGGGGUGAGGAAAUGGGCUGCUGCCUUUCCUCUCUGGCUCUGUAUUGACCCAGCCUCCAAGGUGACCAGCCAUGUGACCUUGGACAAGUCUUUGUAUCUAUUCCUGGGUUUCCUUGCCUGCAAAGGGAGGGGCCAGACUAGAUGGUUUCUAAGAUCAUAUAAGCAGUACUUUUCUCUCUCUCCCACGACACCAGCCUUGAGGGACAACGAGCCUCUCCAAUUAGGCCAGCGGAGCUGUCCGUGGUGCUGAACAUCUACGUUGCGUUUCUGGACCACUCGCUGAUCUCAACAGAUCCUAGCUGUGCCCAGCACUCCUAGAAACUAGUGGGCUCAGGCCGCCUCCAUCAGGCGUCUCGGGCCUGCCUGCAGCUGGAGAGGAGACUCUGGAGGGUCUUGGAGUUCAGGGAACACUGGAGGAGGAAUCUGGAGAUGUGGUCCUAGCCUGACUCGGACAUUUGCUGUCAGCGGGUUUUUGAUGAAGCCACACCUUCCCUUGUUUUCUCAUCUGUGAGACUGAGAUGGGGACUAGGACUAACACCAGCUGGGCCCAGAAGUCCUGGGAGCGUGCCUGGGCUACGGGGGAGAGGGGAGCCCUUGAAGAUUCAGCCAUUCCCUCCCUGUCCCAAGGCUCAGGCUUCUCUAACGGUGAUUGAGGAUGAGGAACAAAACUCACUCCCUUGUUAGGAACAUGUGUUCUUUUGUCUGGAAGAAAAGACAGGCAGUGAGCAGAUGUAGCAUUUACAUUUUUUUCAAAUGACAACUGAACACUGAGGAUGAUUAGUGCUUGUUAUGAAAUGUGUCAAAACUAUAAUAAAAUCUCCAACUUAUAUCA